rnacentral:rRNA from 1 species
UACGUAGGGGGCUAGCGUUGUCCGGAAUCAUUGGGCGUAAAGAGCGCGUAGGCGGCCAGAUAAGUCCGGUGUGAAAGUCACAGGCUCAACCUGUGAAUGCCGCUGGAAACUGUCUGGCUAGAGUCCGGAAGGGGCGAGUGGAAUUCCUGGUGUAGCGGUGAAAUGCGCAGAUAUCAGGAGGAACACCAAUGGCGAAGGCAGCUCGCUGGGACGGUACUGACGCUGAGAAGCGAAAGCAUGGGGAGCGAACAGG